CCUACGGGGGGCAGCAGUGGGGAAUAUUGCACAAUGGGGGAAACCCUGAUGCAGCAACGCCGCGUGAAGGAAGACGGUUCUCGGAUUGUAAACUUCUGUUCUUAGUGAAGAAUAAUGACGGUAGCUAAGGAGCAAGCCACGGCUAACUACGUGCCAGCAGCCGCGGUACUACGUAGGUGGCACGCGUUUUCCGGAAUUACUGGGUGUAUAGGGAGCGCAGGCGGGAAGCCAAGUCAGCUGUGGAAACUACGGGCUUACCUU
rnacentral:rRNA from 1 species